GUGUUUGGGGUUCUGGGCGUGCGAUCGAGAGCAGGAACCAAGGGUAGAGCCAAAACCCUAAUGACCAAAAUUCAUCAAAUUGAAAAGGAGAUCAAGGGCAAAUCGAAUGCAUGGGUUUAGAUACUCUUUAAUCUAAGUGUAUUGAUCAUAAGGAGUCAUGUCAACAUGAGCACAAAUAAGGAAGUGCCAUGGGUAGAAGGUAAACACGGAAGCUAAGUGCAAAUUCGGACGCACGAGGUAAGUAAUUUCCCGGACUCCCUCUUUAGUAGUAAAGAGAUUAGUUGCAUGAUAAAUGUUAGAAGUUGUGCUGAAACGUGAAAUUGAUGAUGAUAUCAAGUAUUAGUAUUAAGUGAGUGAUUUUUCGGAAUCACUUCUUAGUUUAUUAAAGUAAGGUUAUGUGCUAGUUAUUUAAGUAUGGGUUUGGAGUUUAGGAAGGUUUGAGUAUGUAGAAGUGAAGGUUUCCGCUAAGUCGACCAAACGGGUCAAAAUAAGAGUUAACUCAUUACGGUAUGAUUUGCAUUAGUUAUGACGAAGGUAUUAUAACCGGGUCAUGGAUAUAAUUUCUUACAAGUGCGCUAACCGAGAAACGGGGACAUGGGUUAAUGGUCAAAAGGCUUAGUCUUGAGUUUAAACAAAAGAGUUGUUUGAUAAAAACAUGAAUGGGUCGAAUAAUUCGUAAAUUAUAUUAAGCCGAAAGCAUAUAAGUUAAGAACUUCCUUAGUUCGGAUGUUAGAUUUUGAGUCCACUUGAUAGAGGACCAAAAUAUGAUCAUGUAGGAAGAAACAGGAGGUUAAACGGGUGAACGGUUUGAAAGUUACGGCCGUUUUCGUAAAAAGGACAAAGUUGGAAAAGCUGCAGAGCAGCCAAAUCGUAAGCUACGGCUCAGCUGUAGGCUACAGAACGUAGCUGCUGUUUGGAUCAGAACAGCCAAAUCGUAAGCUACGGCUCAGCUGUAGGCUACGAAACGUAGCUGCUGUUUGGACCAGAACAACUGAAUUGUAAGCUACGGCUGAGCCGUAGCUUACGACGGCCAGCUUUUGCAAAAUGUUGAUUGUUUUGUUAUUUGGCCUUCGGGCAAAAAUAGAUACGUUAUUAACUCCCCAUAACUAACGUUUUUGGAUUAUAAACGUGUCUGGGAGCGAGUAAGUAUGUAUGUUAAUAUGUAUAACACCUAUUUUAUGAGAGUUAUGAAUAUGACAUGUUAGUAUAAGUUUAUGUGUAUAAGAGAAAUAAACAAGUACUCGUAGGCAUGUAUGCGUGUAUGAAUGAAGCAUGUAUAUAGGUGUAUAUUAUUGCGUAAACGUAGGUAUGAAGGUGAGUAUGUAUGAAUGCAAGAUGCUAUGAAUGUAAGAUGCUAUGUAUGUAUGUAGGAAUGGUUUCAAGAUGUCUGGGUAUUGACGAUUACUAAUGAUGUGCUUUGAGUUUGGAAUGAAAUGCAGGUAUGAAAUCGUCGGGUUCAUGACGAAUUGAAGCCGGACUUGGAUUAAGAGUAUUUAAGAGAAUGCUUGGAUAAUUCCAUGCUUACAUUAUGGAAUGCUAUGCGAAUUUCAAUUAUAUAGUAUAAUGUUGUAUGGUGAGAUAAUGACUAAUGGUUAAGUUGUAUAUGAUGUCCACAAGUAUCACACGGAUUUCCUCUACCACUAACGAAGAUAAGCGGGCGUAGAUCAAGUCAAAGAACAAGGAUUGUACGGAUAGGACGGCCACCUAGCUUGAAUUAUGUAACGCGCCUUGAAGUAUUAAUUUAAGUAUGAACGUUGUUAAUUCUUUCUAGUAAAAGUUUGCCAUUUUUGUAACUAAGCCUUUUCGUAAGUAAUGUCGUUAAUAAAGAAAGAAAUUUUUAAGCUCAUAUUUCCGCUGCGUCGUUUUUAAGAUAUUAUGUGUUUAAGGGUGUUACAAGUUGGUAUCAGAGCCCUGGUUUGAGAGAAAUCAAGUAUGAGGAGGUAAAUACUUGAACUCAAACCUGUGUGCUCUUUGACAAGGAACCCGUACAAUCCAAGACUCGAUCAAGAUCUAAAGGUAGUAGCGAAUGUAAGUAUGUAUUUAAGUAUGUAUAUGAAGAAAACUAACAGUAUGUUAUGUCUAAGGUAAGCGUAGUUGUUUGGAGAGGAUGAUCCGCAAAUGCGGUAUAGGAUCGACACCAAGGCAUGUAAUAAGACUAAAUGAUCCCAGGUACGUAGACUCAAUAUGUGGGUACAUGUAAUGGUACAACUUAUCAAGGGAAGGAAAAUUUUAAAUGAAAGAUAAUAAUGGUAUGGUAAAGAAGUUUUGAAAAUGUUACACAUGCCGAAGCCUAAUUCUUCGGACAUAAGGUGAUGGUUACUCGAAGACACGAAACUAGUAUGUGGAUUGCGUACCUGGCCAGUAUGAAAGAAACAUAUGAUGUUCGUGAGACCGUGGUAAUUGUUGCAGGUAUGUCCGGAAGAAUUGGGUACUAGGUGGACGUGUAGGUGAAAAGAGUAGUAGGACUCUCAAGAAAUUGAGAGUACUAAAUACGAAAGAAAGUAUGAAUGAUAUGUUAGAAUCCGCGAGACGGAUUCGAGACAUAGAAGGAAUGAAGGAUAUGAAUGAUAUGUUAGAAUCCGCGAGACGGAUUCAAAACAUAGAAGGAAUGAAGGAUAUAAAUGAUAUGUUAGAAUCCGCCAGACGGAUUCGAAACAUGGAAGGAAUGAAGGAUACGAAUGAUAUGUUAGAAUCCGCGAGACGGAUUCAAAACAUAGAAGAGACGAAAAGUAUGAUAUGUUUGUUUCCGCGAGACGGAUUCAAAACCUAGAAAAGAAUGAAAAGUAGAAUGAAAAGUUUGAAUCCGUAAGAAAUUAUGGAUCAAACAAGUAAGAACGAAUGAUAAGAAUGAAAAGUCCGAAUUCGUAAGUAAGUACGAACUAGACAAGUAAAUUUUCUUUAAAGCUGAUAUUAUCCAAGUUAUGUUUUAAACUUCUAUAUAUGUAUAUAUAUAUAUAUAUAUGUAUGCAAAUACGUGUAUGCGAGAAAUGGUUGGGAGGACAAAUGAGUCAUACGGGUCAAUUGGUGAUUUCCAUUUGAACCCGGUAUUUAAUGUUUUGAUUUGUCAAGUUUUAUACUUAUAGGUGAGCAUAAUGUAUGGGUAUGUAAUGUCACAAGUUGGAAAGAAAUAACCAUCGCAACGUAUGGAUAACGAGUCAAUGGAUUUGACUCGCGACAGGUAUGUAUAAAAGACUAUACUUUUAACAGGAGCUUAUGGCUCGACUAGAGAGGGACGUGUCAGAAAAGAAUAACUGAUACAUAUAUGUAAGGAUGUAUUUACAAAUUAAAUUCCUGAAAGGUUAAACUGCAAAAGUUGACAAAGUAACAAAUAAAAUGAAAAGAUUGUAUGUAAGAAAUGGAAUGUGUGAUAUGUUUUAAGCAUGUACGUAAGAAAUUUGCGAAAAAGUCAUAGGUGAACCAACACCAUGUAGAAUGCAGUUAUGAAAAGUUAUGUUCUAACCGUUAAUUUUAUAGAUAAGAAUGAUGAAAUUCUUAGUAAGAGGAUAGUAAUAAAGCUGAAGGAAGGAUGCUCACGAAUGGGAGCAUAUUACACGAAUGAAUGAGACCAAUUAUGGUACGAAAGGUACCUAUAAAGAAGCGGAUAAUCCGGCUUACGGAUCACUGACCUAUGUAAUGAAGACGAGGUUAGUAAAAUGUUUAGUUCUUAAUUAAUAAGUAAGAAUCUAUAAAUUUAUUUGUACGUAUGAACGAAUUGAAUGGUAGGAUAAUUAUGGUAUGAUAUGAAACAAUCGACUCGUAACGAUCAACAUAAGAAAGUAUUUAUGUCAUUAAGAGGAUGAUCUAAAGGCCUUGAAUGAAAAUCUGUACGAUGCUCUUGCACAAUAUACCCGGUUAGCAUAACAAGUAGUAUAUGCACAGAGCUAAUAAUAAAGUGUUGUGAAUGAUUAAAUUUGAGGCUAGACUUAAAAUUGUAAAGUAGUUCAAGAAACGGUACCAACCGUAGGAUGAUGCUUUAUCCUUGUAUUAAGUACGAAAAAAAAUUAUGAGGAGGAUAGCUUUGUUUUUAGUACUACUAGGUCAUCUAAUGUUUAAAGUAUGCAUGUGAUGAUACAAUGGCCCCUCAUAUGAGUACAAGAAUGAUUAGGAGGCAUGUUAGAAAUCGAAUUUUGGGACUUAUUUUUUAUGAUGAUCAAAGGAAACAUCAUAGAUGAUAUAGGAAUAGAAUGAAAUGAAUUGAAAUAUUUCAAAUAAGUAGAAACAUAAGUGUAUUAUGUUUUAUUAGAAGCAACGAAACAAGUCGUAAAACUUAGGUUGUGCAACCGAUAGAAUGGUGAAAGAACCGUUAGUAAUGAAGUGUGCUAGGAACUAGCACUAUAAAGUGUAAUGACACUAAUAAGGACCCGAGAUAAAUUUUCGAUCACUUACGUGUAUGUUAAAGUAAAUUACUUAAUUCAAGAAGGUAGGAACAAUGCGUACAAUUAUGUUGUUUGUGAAUGAAAUCUUUAGCCAAUAUCCCGAAUGUAUGCGUAUUUUACUAUGCCCUUCGAAUGAGUACAGUGAAAUGGUCGGAGAGCAAAUGUGAGAGGUUUCGGGGACGAAACCUUCUUUAAGGGGGGUAGACUUGUAACGCCCCAAAAACCCAAAUGUUAAAAUUUUAAGAAUGAUUUAUUUUACAUGGUGUGAUAUUGAGGUAACUAAGUUAGUGAACUUGGUUUUAAAUACAAGUUAAUAUGUGAAAUGAAAUAAAUGACAAGUUUUAAAAGAUUAAGGGGUUAAAAGGGAAAAGUGUUAAAUAAAACACUUGACAAAAAAAUAAGUCAGUGUUUGGGGUUCUGGGCGUGCGAUCGAGAGCAGGAACCAAGGGAAGAGCCAAAACCCUAAUGACCAAAAAUCAUCAAAUUGAAAAGGAGAUCAAGGGCAAAUCGAAUGCAUGGGUUUAGAUACUCUUUAAUCUAAGUGUAUUGAUCAUAAGGUGAGUUCAAUUUCAUGGUUUGAUGCUUUUUGUUAAUUGGGUUUUGAUUAAUCCGUGAAGAUUGUAUGAAUUUGAGUCUGUAUGUGGGUUAAUAUCAUUAUGUAGAAUGUGAAUUAUCUUUGAAUUUGGUUAUAGCAAAGGAUUGAAGUAAAACCCACUUGUGUUAGUCACAUGAUAAGAUUUUAGCAAUUCUUAGAUGCUAAAACUUAUGAGAAAUUGAAGGAUGAAUGUAUAAGUAUUAGAGUUUUGGUAGAUGUUCUUGAUGUAGGCUAAGAAGCUAAGUGAAAUCGGUUGAAUUGAUCAAGUGUGGUGUGAAUGAGUAGGUUAUGCAUAAAGCACAUGUACAUAGUGCUUAAAAUAUUGUCUGCACACCAAGUGUUCGCUUAAAUGCUUGAAUGGUUAAUUUUAUAAAUUUUGAAUGAAUUAGGAAGUCUUGCAUUGUAUUUGGAAAAUGUAAAGUUAAUAAAUUGUGAAAUGUGUUAUGGAAAGCGAAUGAUGCGUGAAUGUAAUUGAUAUGUAAAUUAAUGGCGUAAUCUAAAAUGAGAGCGGAUUAUGUAUAGGAUUGUAAUUAGAAGGUAAAAGUUCGUAUGCAAGAACUUAUGUGUUAUGAACUAACUAAUUUAUGUGCCGUAUAUGGUAGUAAUGAAGUAUGAUGAUACAUAUCCCAUAUUUGCGCUAAUAAACUAAAGAAAGUCAAAUAUUGCAUGAUUUGAAAGCCGAACGAAUGAAUGUAUGUAAGCUAACCGUGUUAUGAAUGUGAUGACGUGUACGGAUAGGAGUCAUGUCAACAUGAGCACAAAUAAGGAAGUGCCACGGAUAGAAGGUAAACACGGAAGCUAAGUGCAAAUUCGGACGCACGAGGUAAGUAAUUUCCCGGACUCCCUCUUUAGUAGUAAAGAGAUUAGUUGCAUGAUAAAUGUUAGAAGUUGUGUUGAAACGUGAAAUUGAUGAUGAUAUCAAGUAUUAGUAUUAAGUGAGUGAUUUUCCGGAAUCACUUCUUAGUUUAUUAAAGUAAGGUUAUGUGCUAGUUAUUUAAGUAUGGGUUUGGAGUUUAGGAAGGUUUGAGUAUGUAGAAGUGAAGGUUUCCGCUAAGUCGACCAAACGGGUCAAAAUAAGAGUUAACUCAUUACGGUAUGAUUUGCAUUAGUUAUGACGAAGGUAUUAUAAUCGGGUCAUGGAUAUAAUUUCUUACAAGUGCGCUAACCGAGAAACGGGGACAUGGGUUAAUGGUCAAAAGGCUUAGUCUUGAGUUUAAACAAAAGAGUUGUUUGAUAAAAACAUGAAUGGGUCGAAUAAUUCGUAAAUGAUAUUAUGCCGAAAGCAUAUAAGUUAAGAACUUCCUUAGUUCGGAUGUUAGAUUUUGAGUCCACUUGAUAUAGGACCAAAAUAUGAUCAUGUAGGAAGUAACGGGAGGUUAAACGGGUGAACGGUUUGAAAGUUACGGCCGUUUUCGUAAAAAGGACAAAGUUGGAAAAGCUGCAGAGCAGCCAACUCGUAAGCUACGGCUCAGCUGUAGGCUACAGAACGUAGCUGCUGUUUGGAUCAGAACAGCCAAAUCGUAAGCUACGGCUCAGUUGUAGGCUACGAAACGUAGCUGCUGUUUGGACCAGAACAACUGAAUUGUAAGCUACGGCUGAGCCGUAGCUUACGACGGGCAGCUUUUGCAAAAUGUUGAUUGUUUUGUUAUUUGGCCUUCGGGCAUAAAUAGAUACGUUAUAAACUCCCCAUAACUAACCUUUUUGGAUUAUAAACGUGUCUGGGAGCGAGUAAGUAUGUAUGUUAAUAUGUAUAACACCUAUUUUAUGAGAGUUAUGAAUAUGACAUGUUAGUGUAAGUUUAUGUGCAUAAGAGAAAUAAACAAGUACUCGUAGGCAUGUAUGCGUGUAUGAAUGAAGCAUGUAUAUAGGUGUAUAUUAUUGCAUAAACGUAGGUAUGAAGGUAAGUAUGUAUGAAUGCAAGAUGCUAUGAAUGUAAGAUGCUAUGUAUGUAUGUAGGAAUGGUUUCAAGAUGUCUGGCUAUUGACGAUUACUAAUGAUGUGCUUUGAGUUUGGAAUGAAAUGCAGGUAUGAAAUCGUCGGGUUCAUGAGGAAUUGAAGCCGGACUUGGAUUAAGAGUAUUUAAGAGAAUGCUUGGAUAAUUCCAUGCUUACAUUAUGGAAUGCUAUGCGAAUUUCAAUUAUAUAGUAUAAUGUUGUAUAGUGAGAUAAUGACUAAUGGUUAAGUCGUAUAUGAUGUCCACAGGUAUCACACGGAUUUCCUCUACCACUAACGAAGAUAAGCGGGCGUAGAUCGAGUCAAAGAACAAGGAUUGUACGGAUAGGACGGCCACCUAGCUUGAAUUAUGUAACGCGCCUUGAAGUAUUAAUUUAAGUAUGAACGUUGUUAAUUCUUUCUAGUAAAAGUUUGCCAUUUUUGUAACUAAGCCUUUUCGUAAGUAAUGUCGUUAAUAAAGAAAGAAUUUUUUAAGCUCA